GAUGAACGCUGGCGGCGUGCCUAAUGCAUGCAAGCCGAACGGCCUGAUUUAUCAGGCAGUGGCAGACGGGUGAGUAACGCGUAGGAAUGUGUCCAGAGGUGGGGGACAACCCCGGGAAACUGGGGCUAAUACCGCAUAUGAGCUGAGGCUCAAAGCAGUAAUGCGCCUUUGGAGCAGCCUGCGUCCGAUUAGGUAGUUGGUGGGGUAAUGGCCUACCAAGCCUGCGAUCGGUAGCUGGUCUGAGAGGACGAUCAGCCACACUGGGACUGAGACACGGCCCAGACUCCUACGGGUGGCUG
rnacentral:rRNA from 1 species